rnacentral:lncRNA from 1 species
GACUAACCCGUUACCGUGCGGUGAAGUGGGCGCUCCGCCAGGCGAGAGGGCAAAAAAAGGGGAUCACUGACUUAUGUGCAGUGCAUCUAAUACGGCCAUCUACAAAAGACAUCGUAAGCACAAGAGUGAGAGUAGAACUAUGUGACCAGCAAGUAAAUAGAAAGAAAAGUGAGACAAAAUUUUGUAAGAUGAGUAAUAAGAUAGAAUUGGUCAAGAUGACCAACUUUUGAAAUGACGCUAAAGAUUAAGGAAAGGGUAGAGGUCUAUAGUCCUUAGGGCGACCAUUCUAGUCUAGGUUAGCGGUCCUACUGUCAGCAAGGCUUUGAUACCACUUAUGUCACACCCGGUUUUAGAAGGCAAACCGAAUGCGAACCAUGUACGUGCCCGGAUCAGAAACUCACGUACACCGCGAUUACAUAAUUGGACAUCAUCACACAUUGCUCAAAGUAAAUAGUGGAAAGGUACUUUUAUUACAUCAAGAUGUCCAAGACAUCCACAAAGUCUAUUACAUAGCAUAGUCAUUAAUAUCAUCAAAGUGCGGAAAUACAAAACGUAGUAGAUAAGGCCUUCACAGGCAGCUGACUGGGGGCUUGCCACUAAGAAAACUAGAACUCGUCGUAGUCCUGGAACUACUCAAAGUCCUACAUGUUGCCAGCAUCUCCUCCUGAGCACUAAAUACAGUGGGAACAACCUGGGUGGGGGUGGUUUGUAAAACAAGGGUGAGUACACAUCAACAUACUUAGCAAAUGUCCUGUUUGGCUAAAGUGGACUAGCUGUAUGUGGAGUUAAGGUUAAGCAGUUGUUUUUAGUUGGUCAAGUAUUUAUUACUAUUAGUAAGGCCAAUUUUAGUAAUAAACCCAGUUAUUACCCAAAUGUACUCCCUCCAAGAGGAAAUACCAGAGAUCAGAAUUAUAACCAUCAUUAUUAAUCAUCAUCUUAAAAGUAUCCAAAGUUCUUAUAAUAAAAAAGGAUCCCAAGGCCGCUCUUAACCAUGAGCUCAGCUGAUAUACCAGUUUCUAACACUCUGAAGAGGUCGCACACUUUACCCACGAGUUGUGAUCCCUUUCCAGCCUGGGUUGUACAGACCCGAUAUUCACUACCGAGAUGAAUGGUGUCACACCCAGGUUUUGGGGCAACAAGACCCGGGCACGAACAUAAUCACCAGGUGUGCUGGGACCAAGUCUCACACAUAUGAUGAAUCAUGGCACAGAAUCGAAUGUCACAUCUUUACUAUAUAAUAGGAGUUAUGUACAAAAUAAAUAAAUAAUUAUAUUAUAAGAAGACAACGGUCCAGCAACCCAAAGUUGACUGGGAGACGAUGGCCUAGACCUCUCACGAACUCGUCACAACAUCCUCCAUGUGCCUCAUCCUGCACUACUUGUUCUUGACCUGUGGGGGUGAGACAGCAAGAGUGAGCUCACAUACGUGUAUAGCUCAACAAGUUGUGGGGAAUAAUGUGUAUGAAUUCGCCAAAGGUGGUAGCUCACGUGAAGUGUAAGGCUUACCAAAUAGGAUGGUUAAAGCUGAGCAUUGCUUUUAAAGUUGGUCAAAAUUUUAUUAGCAAUUACUAAGUACAAGUAAAUACCAAACACAAUUAAGUAGUAGAACAAAAGUAAUAACAACACCUGCAAUGCAAUGCAUAUGACAAAUUGAAUUUAGUUCCAUAAAUUAAUCAUGUGAGUGUCCGAGCUGCUCAUGACCGUGAGCAUGGCUAGUAUACCAGUUUUACACUCUACAGAGGUUACACAUCUUUACCCACAAGUCAUGUUACCCAUCUGCCAAGGGACGACCAAUCCCAUACACCUCUACUGAGGAGGCGAGGCAGGGUAACACUACGAGGCCUUUACAAAGUUCCAGUAGCUUCAGAAAACCCGCUAUAGUUUCUAGGAAGCUCCAAUGCAGUGAUCCCUCACCUGACCGCCAUCGCAGCAAAAUCAACCCAAGGACCUCCCUACACUGACCACUCCUCUACUGCCUUUGCCCCUUUCGUGUAAGGUAGUCCUCCACUAGCUUUCCUAAUUAGUCAGCCAAGGGCGUCCCAUACCACCCUUGUGGUAGCACUAUUUUUCCGGGUGGUUCUCCAUGUUCCAAUUAACAUAAUGAUCUUAACAAGAACAGUAAAUAACAACUGAUAAUAAGAGUAUAAUCAUGAAUAGUGUGUAUCUCUUUACCCAAAACCACAUAAAGCAAUAGCAUGUACUACCCAAAAAAUCAGUGGUGAACAAGGUAUAAAAAUAGUCAAACUAGGGUAACCUAUUAGGUCCCAUCAAAAUUAACCUAUACAAAUCAUUAUGAUUAAUCAGAACAUGACUGGGUAAAAAGAAGUGAUCAAGGACACAACUUGCCUGGGACUUCAGAUUCCAGGUACCGACUUGCUCUUCAGAUGACACGUGUCCUCACCGCUAAACGUAGCAAUACAGACAAACAUGGUAUAAGCAAAAUUAACAUCACUCCAAUCAUAAGAAUAAACUGUAUAAUAAUAAUAAUCUACACGUUGCUACGAGAUCGUGGGAACGAGAAUCACUGAAUUCGGAGCUACGGUUAUAAAGUUAUGAUUUUAUAAAGAUUUAAGUGUUGGACACAAAAGAAAUUAAGUGCAUAAAUUAUACCCAUGUUUCAUAAUAAAAUAAGGUUACCAGAUGAUAAACUAUAUUAUUAUAAAUUUAUAGCAACUGGAAUAAAUGAAUUUGGAGCUAAGAUCAAUUAAAUAUGAAUUAAAUAAGAUUAUAGUUUUAUUUCUAUACUAGAAAACCUUUUCUGAAUUAUUUUAUUCCAUUUAUUCACUUCCUGGGCUGCGGGCACAAUUUCCGGAAAACAUAGGGUGCACUUUAUAAAAACCAGGGGCCUAUAUCGAAUUACUCUUACACAGUAGUGGAGCGUGGGUUGAUAUCCUAUAAAUCCAAGGACUCUUUAACAAAUUGCGCACGACCAAGGGGUAUUAACAUUUCUCAGCCACCCGAUCUGAUUUCAGUGGCCAAGAUUAGACGUAUCAAUUGAGUGAACCGGUAUUCGAUGUCGUCCGCACGAUCAAAGAUCCACGGCCGACAAUCGCCUACGAUUACGACACACUCUAGCCAUCGGAUCACAGAUCUACGCGGGGAAUUUAAUAUGACGAAGGGGUAUAAAGCUUCUAUUCUAGGUCGUUCAUCCCAGAUCCUACGGUUGUCGCCCCAUCUUCCACCCCUCCGGAUCCUGGCCACGGCAGCGCUGCCCCCUGCGGCAGAGGGCACGUCGGUGAACCCCUACUACCGAUUCCGCGCGCCAAACUACGAUUACCCAGGUGCUAAGCGAAUGGAAUGACCGCAGGAAUACAAAGGGCGGGUACACACCGGUGAUCUUUCAGCAAGAGCAGUGCGACGACGUUGGAGUAGGCAGAUUGGCUGUUCCGCGAAGUUCGCGACAAAUUCCAGCAAGACCAGUGCAUCACCCCGCUCGAGCAAGUCGCGAUCACAUUCCUGACGACGGGUUGAAACUCCCCAGGAUGAGGUCGCGCCACGAACGGCAGCCAGAACACGGAUCCAUGAUGGCGGAGUAGGGACCCCCCAAGCUCUGUUGGUCGGUGAUGGCUACGGCGGAUGAAAAGAGGGAUAGGUUCAUGGCACAUUGGCGGGGUUCAGUUUUGUAGGCCGCAACGAGGGAG